rnacentral:rRNA from 1 species
UACGUAGGGUGCGAGCGUUGUCCGGAAUUAUUGGGCGUAAAGGGCUCGUAGGCGGUCUGUUGCGUCGGGAGUGAAAACUCAGGGCUUAACCCUGAGCCUGCUUCCGAUACGGGCAGACUAGAGGUAUGCAGGGGAGACUGGAAUUCCUGGUGUAGCGGUGGAAUGCGCAGAUAUCAGGAGGAACACCAAAGGCGAAGGCAGCUCGCUGGGACGGUACUGACGCUGAGGUGCGAAAGCGUGGGGAGCCGAACAGG